CUUUCGGGGUGGAUUAGUGGCGAACGGGUGAGUAACACGUGGGCAAUCUGCCCUUCACUCUGGGACAAGCCCUGGAAACGGGGUCUAAUACCGGAUAACACUCUGUCCCGCAUGGGACGGGGUUAAAAGCUCCGGCGGUGAAGGAUGAGCCCGCGGCCUAUCAGCUUGUUGGUGGGGUAAUGGCCUACCAAGGCGACGACGGGUAGCCGGCCUGAGAGGGCGACCGGCCACACUGGGACUGAGACACGGCCCAGACUCCUACGGGAGGCAGCAGUGGGGAAUAUUGCACAAUGGGCGAAAGCCUGAUGCAGCGACGCCGCGUGAGGGAUGACGGCCUUCGGGUUGUAAACCUCUUUCAGCAGGGAAGAAGCGAAAGUGACGGUACCUGCAGAAGAAGCGCCGGCUAACUACGUGCCAGCAGCCGCGGUAAUACGUAGGGCGCAAGCGUUGUCCGGAAUUAUUGGGCGUAAAGAGCUCGUAGGCGGCUUGUCACGUCGGAUGUGAAAGCCCGGGGCUUAACCCCGGGUCUGCAUUCGAUACGGGCUAGCUAGAGUGUGGUAGGGGAGAUCGGAAUUCCUGGUGUAGCGGUGAAAUGCGCAGAUAUCAGGAGGAACACCGGUGGCGAAGGCGGAUCUCUGGGCCAUUACUGACG
rnacentral:rRNA from 1 species